UGAGGAAUAUUGGUCAAUGGGCGAGAGCCUGAACCAGCCAAGUCGCGUGAGGGAAGACUGCCCUAUGGGUUGUAAACCUCUUUUGUAAGGGAAGAACCGACAUUACGUGUAAUGUUUUGCCAGUACCUUACGAAUAAGCAUCGGCUAACUCCGUGCCAACAGCCGCGGUAAUACGUAGGGAGCGAGCGUUGUCCGGAUUUACUGGGUGUAAAGGGUGCGUAGGCGGGAUGGCAAGUCAGAUGUGAAAUACCGAGGCUUAACCUCGGGGCUGCAUUUGAAACUGCUGUUCUUGAGUGAAGUAGAGGCAGGCGGAAUUCCUAGUGUAGCGGUGAAAUGCGUAGAUAUUAGGAGGAACACCAGUGGCGAAGGCGGCUUACUGGACUGUAACUGACACUGAGGCUCGAAAGCGUGGGUAGCGAACA
rnacentral:rRNA from 1 species